rnacentral:lncRNA from 1 species
GGCCGUGAAGACAAAAUUUUACAAUAUCGGAUCCGAUUCCGGAGACGGAUAAGUAUAAUUCCGGGUUUGGCGAUCAAUUACUAAAUAAAUAAAAGCAGGUGAAAAAAUAAAUCUAUGCAUGGUAAAUGAAUAUAAACACUAGAAUUGUAAACCAAAAGAUAUAUGUAAAAGAAAGAAAAAGCAGAAAAAUAUUUUAUACAGAAACUCAAAAUUACUUUUUGACAAAUUUUAAUUUAAAAAUCCAAUACAAAGUGACAGCAGGGAACAGUAUAUCUAACAAUAUACAUGUUCAUGGUCACAGUCUAAAUUUUCUUUAUCAGUGAUAAAUGAUGAUAAUGCAUGUAAGAUGCUUUUAAAGUGUAAACAUAUUACUGCAAUUUCGAAGGGUUAUUUGUUUUUUCUCAAUUUUGAAGGGUCAAUUAAAGUAGCUAAAAGUUUCUUUAUUUUCACAAAUAAUGCACUAUAUUAUAUAUACCUAAUUGUAAGUAAAUCAUAUGAUAUAUAGGUGGCAUUCUUUGGGUCACUCUACCCCUCCUGUUUGAUAACUUGGAAACGGUCGAGCUCCCCCCCCCUAAACCAUACGAGGGGUAGAUCCAGGAUUUUAGGUCAGGAGGGGCGCAAACAUAAAUUUUCGCCGAGCAGAGCGAGGCUAAAAAAAUUUGAGGUAAAAUUAUCGGAAUAUUCUUUAUUAAGCUGAGAACAACCCAUGCUUUGCAAAUUUAAGGGGGUGCAACCAUAUAUAUUCAUAUUUGUGACAAUAUGAAAAAUCAAAUGAAAUAUAGGAAGAGUCGCUGGGGGUCACCCCACCCUUCCUGUUUUAGAAUUUAAAAAUGGUCCAGAUCCCACCCCUAAACCAUAUAUAUUCAUGUAUGGGACAAUAUAACAAAUCAGAUGAAAUAUAGGGGGAGUCCCUUGGGUCACCCCACCCCCUCCUGUUUGAGAAUUUGAAACCCGUUGAGAUCGCCACCCUUAACCAUAUAUUCAUGUACGGGACAAUAUAACAAUUCAAAUGAAAGAUAGGAAGAGUCCCUGAGGUCACUGUACACCCUCCUUUUUGAGAACUUGGAAAUGGUCAAGAUCCUUACCCCUAAACCAUAUAUACUCAUGUAUGUGACAAUAUAACAAAUCAAAUCAAAUAAAGGGGAAGUCCCUGUGGUCACCCCAACCCUCCUGUUUGAGAACUUGGAAAUGGUUGAGAUCCCCACACCAAAACAAUAUAUAUUCAUGUAUGAGGCAAAUUAUAACUAAUUAAAUGAAAUAUAUGUGGAGUCCCUGGGGUCACCCUACCCCUCCUGUUUGAGAACUUGGAAACCAAUGAGAUCCCCACCCCUAAACCAUAUAUAUUCAUGUUUGGGACAAUAUAACAAAUAAAAUGAAAUAUAGGGGAAGUCCCUAGGGUCACCCUACCCCCAGUGGCGGAUCCAGAAUUUUUCAUAAGUGGGGGCCGCUGACUGACCUAAGAGGGGGCCCGCU